GAUGAACGCUAGCGAGAGGCUUAACACAUGCAAGUCGAGGGACCGGCGCACGGGUGCGUAACGCGUAUGCAACUUGCCUCACAGAGGGGGCUAACCCGUCGACAGACGGACUAAUACCGCGUACUGUGAGAUAGGCAUGCGUCCCAUUAGCUAGUUGGUGAGGUAACUGCUCACCAAGGCAACGAUGGGUAGGGGAAAUGCGAGGUUGAACCCCCACACUGGUAUUGAGACAAGGACCAGCCUCCUACGUGAGGCAGCAGUGAGGAAUAUUGGUCAAGGGGCGCGAGCGUGGACCAGCCAAGUCGCGUGAAGGAUGACUUUCUAUGGAUUGUAAACUUCUUUUGUAGGGGAAUAUGUACCCUACGAAUAAGCAUCGGCUAACUCCGUGCCAGCAGCCGCGGAAAUUC
rnacentral:rRNA from 1 species